rnacentral:misc_RNA from 1 species
GAUGAAGAACGUAGCGAAAUGCGAUACGUAGUGUGAAUUGCAGAAUUCAGUGAAUCAUCGAAUCUUUGAACGCACAUUGCACCUCUCGGUAUUCCGGGAGGUAUGCCUGUUCGAGCGUCAUUUGUACCCUCAAGCUCUGCUUGGUGUUGGGUGUUUGUUCCGCCUCUGUGUGUGAACUCGCCUCAAAACAAUUGGCAGCCGGCGUACUUGUUUCGGAGCGCAGCACAUUUUGCGAUCCAGAUCAACGUACAGCGGCAUCCAAGAAGCCUUAUUUAACGCUCUUGACCUCGGAUCAGGUAGCGAUACCCGCUGAACUUAAGCAUAUCAAUAAGCGGAGGA